GGCAGCUGCCCACACACAGUUUCAACAGCCUUAGGACGGUUCCCCAAGCCCUGAAGUUCCCUUCCCUCAUGCUCACUGAUGCUUGAACUUCUUGAAGGAUCAGGCUUUGAUGCCAGUGAAAACAAUAAGGCCCCAAAUGUCUGAGAGGUGGUCCCAGCUCUGCCCCGACCAGCUGUGUAACUUUGGAUAAGCCGCUGCCCCUCUCUGGGCUGCUGUCCCCUCGGUACAUGAGGGUUUGGAACCCGAUGGUCUGUACAGGCCUCCCCUGCUGGGCCUCAGACAGAAUCCUAGCUGACGUCACCGCUCAGCAGCUUGUGAUCACGGCUUCACUGAGCUGUGCCUUUCUCCAGGGAGAAGAAGACAAGCUGUGCCCCUAGGGUUUGCAAAACCGGCGUCUGAAAGGUCCGUGUUUUUCAAAAGGGAACUACACCAUCGAGAAGAUGGGGAAGCUGGAGCCCAAGAGAGGGGACGUGACUGCAGCCUCACACACUCAUCACCAUUUACUGACUAUGCCUGUUUGUGUGUUUGGUGUCUGUCUCCCCCACCAGAAUGGCAGCUCCACUGAGAGCAGAUUUCAUCUGUUUUGCUCACUGCUGAAUCCCCAGCACCCAAACAGUGCACGGCACCCAGGAAGCACUUCAUAAAUGGGGAAAUUGAGGCUCAACCAGACAAAGGAUUUGCCUUGCCAAGGUCACCUGGCUGGCACCAGCUGCCUGGCCAGAAGCUCCGCUCACAACCUUCCAGGGCCUGGGAUUCCCCCUCAAGGUCAGCAGUGUCAGGGCCAAUGGGAAACUCACCUUUCACUGACAACUCCCCAGUUUCAUCCAUUUAAGUGAUAACUUUAAUGUUAUUUUAACCUAAAUCCCCCGUUGACUUCAAUGAAAGCUUUGAAUCCACGAGGAAGGUCAGACAGCGUUUUUAGAGGUAGCACAGGCACCCAAUGGAAAUCACAUUAGCAUACUCAUUAUCAUCAGGGCCCUUUGAAUGUAUCUUUUAGCUGUUCCCUUAAAGUGAUGCUGGGACAAUGGAUCCUUUCUGUUCAUGAAUUCCUGGGCCUGGGCCUGAAGUGGGGCUAUGGUCAGCUCCUGUGAGCUUCUCUGCACCUUCUAAAUGGUGACAGCGAACCCAUGUGUCAUAGGAUAGCGGAAAGAGUAUCAUCCACCAGGCACCCUGUGGUGAAUGGAGCACAUCGUCUGGGUUUGGAAGAAGUAACUCUUCAAGUCCCUUAGGCGGUUGCUGUGGGACCCCAGGGAUGGGCUCAGGUGACAAAAGGUGGUGUCAACCUGCCUUCCAAGGAGGCCCUAUUAAUAGGAGGCCUCUUGGUGCCGCAAAGAAUCAAGGAUGGUUCUGGGUUGACAAGAUGGUUGCUCAACUCUGGAAAGUGCCAGAGUUACCUAGGGAGCGUUUAUCAACACUCAGUGCGCAGCACCCCUACACCAGACCAUUUGGUUCCAAAUCUUGGGGAGUGGGGGGCCAACUGGCAUCAAAGGUUUUUAAAUGUCCCCAGACGACUCCAGAGCAUCAAGAGGCAGCUGGUAAGCAGAACUGAACUGCUCCCUCCUCAAACCAGAAGGAGGGGAAAAGAGAAGUUGUGGGGUGGGUGAUGGUGGGAGGGCAUGAGGAAGUCCUCUGGGGAUGUGCGGGGGAGAAGGAACCUCAGAGAAAACACUUCUUUUUUCUUUUAAAGGAAAUUUUCAAAACACAGAAAAAUGGAGAGAAUAGUACAAUGACCCAUUAUCUGUCACUAGCCUCACCAGUUAUCUACACUGAGUCCUUCCUGGGGGGGGCGGGGGGGGUUGUAAGGUGUGUGCCCAGUGAGGUGACGCACCCCAGCUUCCCGGAACCGCCUGUAAAGCCAGCCCUGCUCACAGUGAUCCUGCGACAGCGGAUCCUUGGCGGGAACACAGAGUCCAGCACCAAGCUCUCAGGGUGGGGUGGGCUUUGUCAGAAGAGCCAACAGCCGAGACACAAAGACUUUUGUGUUAAGGGAAAAAAAGUUAUGUUUAAAAAGAAAUCCCCGCCUGUUUGGACUAAUUCCUCCUUGGUUCUCAUGUUUGGGGACAGGGCCUUGGGGCUGACCCCUAAAAGGAUCAAGGAAGCAAGGGGACAGGCGUGGGAACACCCCAAGGGUGGCAGCUGGGCCGGGAUGUCUCGGGAAGUCCUCUUAUGUGUGCUUCUUUGCCCAUCUGGCAGAGAUUCACUGGGCACCUUCUCCAUGCCGGACGCUGUGUUCUAGGCCGUGGGGACACAGAGGUAACACCAUGGCUGAAGAUGCUUCCCCACGUGAGUUGAACUCCAGAGCAGGGGCCGGACAAUAAACAUCAAUAGAAUCCCUAAUUUUCGGCUGGGCACAUGACAGCCUGGGAUGAAGACUACAGUUCCCUGCUUCCCUUCCAUAUCCUAGCUGGAAUUUGAAAUAUGAUGACUGGAGCUCAAGCAGCCAUCUUGGACCAUGUGGUGAAUUAAAGAUAGCUGCUGAUUCUUUGACUGUCCUUCCUUCGAGAGGAAGAGUCUAUUUGGAAGAGUUUGUUAUCCCUCCACUUGCAUCUGGGCUGGCCUGUGACUUCUUGGGUCAACAGAGUAUAGUGGAAAUGAUGCUCUGCCAAUUCUAGGCCUAGCCCUUAAGAGCACUGGCAGCUUCUGCUAUGGCCUCUUGGAUUCAUGAACUGCCAUGGAAAAAUGUCAAACCACUCCGCUGGAGAGACCACCCGGAGAGGCCCUGAGGCUCCAUGGAAGGGGAGAGGGACCCAGCUGAGCUAAGUGUUUCAGUCAUCCCCACCAAAGCCCUAGGCACCCCAGUAAAACCAUCUUGACCCUCCAGAUGAGCCCAACCAUCAGCUGAAUACGACUGAGCGACUGGUUGACACCCAUGGAUCAGAAAGAUCGAUCAGCUGAGCCCUGCCCAAAUUUCUGACCUACAAAACUGUAGAAAAUAAUAAAAUGGAGGUUGUUUUGG